UACGGAGGGAGCAAGCGUUGUUCGGAUUUACUGGGCGUAAAGGGCGCGUAGGCGGCGCAACAAGUCACUUGUGAAAUCUCCGGGCUUAACCCGGAGCGGCCAAGUGAUACUGUCGUGCUAGAGUGCGGAAGGGGCUACUGGAAUUCUCGGUGUAGCGGUGAAAUGCGUAGAUAUCGAGAGGAACACCUGCGGCGAAGGCGGGUAGCUGGGCCGACACUGACGCUGAGGCGCGAAAGCCAGGGGAGCGAACGGG
rnacentral:rRNA from 1 species